rnacentral:miRNA from 1 species
AAUGCAGGAUGCCCAGCUAAAUUUGCAUUUUAGAUCAACAAAGUUUGUUUUUUAAGUAUAAGUAUGUCCAAUGCAAUGCUUGCGACAUACUUAUACUAAAAUAUUAUUGUUUAUCUGACAUUAAAAUUUAACUGGGCUUCUUUUGUUUU